UACGUAGGGGGCUAGCGUUGUCCGGAUUUAUUGGGCGUAAAGAGCGUGUAGGCGGCCAGGUAGGUCUGCUGUGAAAACUCGAGGCUCAACCUCGAGACGUCGGCGGAAACCAUCUGGCUAGAGUCCGGAAGAGGAGAGUGGAAUUCCUGGUGUAGCGGUGAAAUGCGCAGAUAUCAGGAAGAACACCCGCUGGCGAAGGCGGCUCUCUGGGACGGUACUGACGCUGAGACGCGAAAGCGUGGGGAGCAAACAGG
rnacentral:rRNA from 1 species